rnacentral:rRNA from 1 species
GAUGAACGCUGGCGGCGUGCCUAAUACAUGCAAGUCGAACGAAAGCACGAGGAGCUUGCUCUUCUAACGUUAGCGGCGGACGGGUGAGUAACACGUGGAUAACCUUCCUAUAAGACUGGGAUAACAUCGGGAAACCGCUGCUAAUACCGCAUAAUACGUCGAACCGCAUGGUUCAAUGGUGCAAGGCGGCUUUGGCGUCUCAUAUAGAUGGAUCCGCGUCGCAUUAGCUAGUUGGUAAGGUAACGGCUUACCAAGGCAACGAUGCGUAGCCGACCUGAGAGGGUGAUCAGCCACACUGGAACUGAGACACGGUCCAGACUCCUACGGGAGGCAGCAGUAGGGAAUCUUCCGCAAUGGGCGAAAGCCUGACGGAGCAACGCCGCGUGAGUGAAGAAGGUCUUCGGAUCGUAAAACUCUGUUGUUAGGGAAGAACAAAUGCGUGAGUAACUAUGCACGUCUUGACGGUACCUAAACAGAAAGCCACGGCUAACUACGUG